UCGAACAUGCCCCUUGUGUAUGAAAACAAUGAAGGUUGAUGUGGUGGAGAUUCAUACGCUUGAAAGCAUGUAAGGGUUUCCUAAAAUGACAUGCCUCUCCGCCCCUUUCCGUGUGCAUGUGAAUCCUAUUUUUGUAGGCCGGAAGCCAGGGCUCUCUCUUUAGGUGUGUUGUCAAUAGAGGGGGAAUAUAUGUGGGGAGAGUGACAAUUCUUUUAUCUGCCGAAAUUCUUUAGUGAGAGAUUCCUUAUACACUGAAAGAGUGGGAGGUAAGCUUGACGCCCUUGGUCUCUUGUUUUAGUGGAAGAAAUCUCUGUAUUGUGGCUCCGUGGACGUAGCUGAAUGGCCAAAUCAUGUAAAUCUUUGUAUCUCAUAUCUUGUUUUUCUCUUUUAACUUUUAGAUUUUGAUUUGGCUCUCCUUUUUUUUUUUUUGUUGUAAUUUUGCUUUGCUUGCAUCAAUCUUCUACAGGUUGUAUUUCUACAAAACAAUGCACAACGCACUUCAAUGGCUUUGUUUUUA